GUACUGCUGAAGAGUCCCAAAAUAGUCUGACGAAGCAGCUGUCCAGUAC
rfam:Trichobilharzia regenti genome assembly, scaffold: TRE_scaffold0016511